GAUGAACGCUGGCGGCGUGCCUAAUACAUGCAAGUCGAGCGAACAGACGAGGAGCUUGCUCCUCUGACGUUAGCGGCGGACGGGUGAGUAAAACGUGGAUAACCUACCUAUAAGACUGGGAUAAUUUCGGGAAACCGGAGCUAAUACCGGAUAAUAUAUUGAACCGCAUGGUUCAAUAGUGAAAGACGGUUUUGCUGUCACUUAUAGAUGGAUCCGCGCCGCAUUAGCUAGUUGGUAAGGUAACGGCUUACCAAGGCAACGAUGCGUAGCCGACCUGAGAGGGUGAUCGGCCACACUGGAACUGAGACACGGUCCAGACUCCUACGGGAGGCAGCAGUAGGGAAUCUUCCGCAAUGGGCGAAAGCUUGACGGAGCAACGCCGCGUGAGUGAUGAAGGUCUUCGGAUCGUAAAACUCUGUUAUUAGGGAAGAACAAAUGUGUAAGUAACUAUGCACGUCUUGACGGUACCUAAUCAGAAAGCCACGGCUAACUACGUG
rnacentral:rRNA from 1 species